CAGAACGGAAGUCUUGGUUUUAUUUAUAGUUGAUAACUUACGUCCGGCAGGCUCCACAGGAGGCACAGCAGGGAGGACAAAGAGCUCAGAGGAGCAAGGGACAAAAAUGCCCAAACCCCUGGGCUAAGGUGGUGGCUGAGAGCAAGCCUAAAGCUCCCGGGGCCGAGUUCCCCAGUAGCCAAAGCAAAGAGGGGAACAGGGUGCUGCAGAAUGACAGCACAGAAAGCGGGGCCAUAGGGCCUGGGUCCAGACAAGCCAGGAGACCUUAGAUGGAUUCUGCUUUCUUGUUGGAAAACGGGGAGAAAAAUGCUGAAUUGGUCGGGACAGCCAUGCCAUGCAUCCAGCACAGUGUCCGGAUGCAUUUCAGAGGCUCUGCCAGUCCAGGAUCCCAGGAUCAGGGACCUCGCUGCCCACCCUCAUGUGCCUGGCAGAUGUCGCCGACAGACUGCAGCACACUUCCCCAGAGCAGCCUGGGGUCUGCCUCCCAGCCCAUUCCCCUCGGUUCUUGAGGGGCCACCGCCGGUGUGCCAGAGUCGGCCUGCAGACUGGACCACUUACUUGCCCUCUGGACUGUGACCAGCUGGGGGAAGGCCCCGAUGGCUUCCGUCACGUGGUGCUCCCGGCACCCGCCGGUGCCUGCAUGUGGUAGACACACAACAUGAAGCUGUCUGGUAGGGCCGAGCAAAUUUUGCAGAUGACGAGCUGACGGCCAAAUGGGAGCCAAAGGAGACCCCAGAGGAUGAGAGCAAUGGCCAAAUGCUGAUCUCACGUGUGCUUCAGGAUAUCAGGCCACCCUGGCAGUGGACAAAGCCAAUGUAUAUUUUUGUCUCAGGACAUGUUGCAAGCUAUUCCAGGCUCUUAAGAUAAGAAAGUUCAAUGACUUUGUCAAAUUUCCUAAUUUUCCUCAAACACUACUUCAGUUUCGAUUUUCGAGCCGGGCUACCUGGCACAAAGCAUGCCUGCCAUGGACCCCCAAAGCUGCACUGGUAGCAGACAUGACUAAUUGAUCACAGAAUCCUCGAUGCUGGAUGGGGGUGUUUGGGAUCUGAGCUACUCUUCUUCAUUCCUUCACGGGAUGGACUCCCAGCUUUGUCACGAAGCCUACCCGAGGCCCACCAGGGUCUGACCCUCCUCUCUGCCCUCUGGCCACUUUUGGCCAAGACAGUUGGUCUCUCUCUCUCUCUCUCACACACACACACACACACACACGUGCAAAGGAACAUGGGCAGAGCGAGGCCGCAUGCGUCAUUUACCACCUGGAGCAGAGUGCACGUAAACGCGUAGUGGAGGCACUUAUCUGUCCUGUCUGAUGCUCCGACCCAGGACCCGGGACAGUGCACGCAGGACCUGGCACACUGUAGGUGCUCCGUGAGUGUUUGCUGAGCAGAGGGCACCUGUGGCCCACGCUGCCCUCAGCCCGAUCCUGCCACAACCAGGACCUUCUCGCGGCCAGUUCACAUCUCAGCCGCCGUUUUGGGCCCUCCCGUUGCAUCUCUGUGCCCGGGAAGGGGUGGGGUGCGAGGGGCAGCACUCUCAUCCAACAGCUGAGGAAUUAGGGCCUGGAGAACUUUCCCUGGAGUCUUUAGAUGGCUGCUGAGAUAGAUUUGCAGGUAGACGCAGACUGCGUGACCGAAGGCGGGGCCGGCUCUCCCGGGGCCUCGGCACCCCCAACUCCACUCCCUCCUCCGGGGGAUUAACUGGCAUCAAGGGAGAACUUUAGGAAAUGGCCAUGUUUAAAGGCCCCUGCUUAAUGGUCCCUUUAAUUAGAAUGGGUUUCACUUGACACCGUCUCUGCUGACCUGCAGAGGAGGGCAGCCCCUGCCCGAGUGAUCGCGCAAUGACCCAGGCAUUCCCGCGCCGGGGCCGAGCCCCGUUUGCUCUGCAGAGUUCAAAAGCAUGGCUGUUUCUGCAGCAGAACAACAGCCAGAGCCCGGAGUCGCUCCCCUCGGUUCAGGCACCCCUGUGGGAACCUGGAUCCGGGACAUUCCUCUGGAGAGAAGAAUGUGCACGCAGGGGACCGCUGGGCCCCUGCCAAGUCCAGCCGCUGGGCGGGCUCAGCGGGGAGCCUGAGUGCCGGGGAGGACCAGGCUCGAGCAGGGUGGGCCCGGGCCUGCCCUUGGGGUGCCCCUAGCCAGGAGAGGAGGUGGUCCAGGGAGCAGCAGUGUCAGCAAGGUGGGACUUGACGGCAAACCCAAGAGCUGGGGAACCCCAGGGAGGUGCCUGAUCCCACCCGGCAGGGCCAGCAGCUUCCCAGGAAGGUUUCUCUGGAGCAGGAGCGCGUGUGCUUGCGUGAGUCUGUGCUGCGGCAACAAUAAGCCCGCGCCAGGCGUCUUCACGCUGCGCGCUGCACUCUGCACUCCCGUUAUGGUCCUGCGCAUCAGCAGAGGGUCUCCUCCAGGGGGACGCGGGGAUCCAGGCUGCUCUGAGGCACAGGUCAGUUGAGCAGAGUCUCCAAGGCCACCUAAGCAGCCAGUGGCAGACCCGAGGUCUAAUCCAAGCUGUCUGCCCCCAGAGCGGGUGUUCCCACACCAGGUGACUUGCCGAGGUCACACAGCCACCGGGCUGAGCACGAAGCCCACCCGAUUCCAAGGCUUCCUCGCCCUCCACUCGGCAGAUAGUGGGAACUCUGGAGCCUCCAGCCACCAGGGAGUCACCAGCACACGUCUGAAGUUACACCUUGUGAAUGUGGAUCUAAUUCUCCCCACUGCCAUUUUCACCCAGCAUUCCUGGGUCUAACACAAUUCAGCGUGGCCUGGGGUCUUCCCGACGGCGUUGCCAGGUGCGAAACGUGGUGUCCAGGGGCCUUAUCUCAGACGACAGGUGGUAAUUUAAGUAUCCCGUGCCACCAUGCGGAAAUACGGCAACAGCCACUGGCCCUGGUCCCCUGCUGAGGGGCAGACGGUCAGGCUCAGGUGGGCACAGGGGUGCCAUCGUUCCAGGCCUUGGGGACGAGCCAGGGAGAGUGUGUGUCCCCCACGCACCUCGCUGUUUCCAAGCAGGUCCUCGUGUUCGAGGCCGGUGGCGGCCCUGUGAGCAGGACUCCGCCCCUAUCUCAUGGACGAGGAGAAGGAGACGCGGGAGGGGCCAGCCGCCUGCCGCAGGCCACCCAGCCAAGAAACGGCAGAACCAGGACACAAACCCAGAUACUUGGAUUCUCGUCAUUUCUUCCACAAAUACGUCUUGAGUCAGGCUUACUCAGAGCCGGUUCCGAGAAGGGCUGGAAAUAAACAGAUAGUCAGUGAGCCUGCACGCCGGCCCUCAGCGCCUCGCGGUCGGAGGGAGGCGGACACGCGUGGAACGACUCACGUGGAACACACCAAGCCUCACACGGGAGGAGGUUCUCACACACGCUGCCACACGGAGGGGCCUUGAGGACAUCAUGCUGGGAGAAGUGACCCAGUCACCGAGAGGACACCAGUCACCUGUGUGACCCCACGCCUGCGAGGCACGGACAGUGGACGGGGCGCCGGGGUGGGGAGGAAGGGGUGGGGAGCCAGUGUUUAACGGGGACAGAGCUUUGAUUUGGACGAUGAGAAAGUUCUGGACGUGGACGGUGGCGAUGGUUGCACAACAAUGCGAAUGUAUUUAAUGCUACAGACUACACACUAAUAAAUGGCUAAAAUAGUAAGAUUUAUACUAUGUAUAUUUUACCACAAUUAAAAUGUCUUAAAUUUGAAAAAAAA